CAGAGUAGGCAUCGCGGCGUCAAGUGCCGUCGGAACGGGGAGUUGUCCGGCGGACGAAAGCGGAAGCUGCGGUCACGAUGCCGCAUCCCGCUG
rnacentral:ncRNA from 1 species